rnacentral:pre_miRNA from 1 species
AAAGUACUCCCUCCGUCCCAAAAUUCUUGUCUUAGAUUUCUCUAGAUACGGAUGUAUCAAGUCACAUUUUAGUAUUAGAUACAUCCGUAUCUAGACAAAUCUAAGAAAAGAAAUUUGGGACAGAGGGAGUAGUUG